AUACGUAGGGGGCAAGCGUUGUCCGGAAUUACUGGGCGUAAAGGGUGCGUAGGCGGAUAUGCAAGUCCGAUGUGAAAUGCUUCGGCUUAACCGGGGAGUUGCAUUGGAAACUGUAUAUCUAGAGUGCAGGAGAGGGAAGCGGAAUUCCUAGUGUAGCGGUGAAAUGCGUAGAUAUUAGGAGGAACACCAGUGGCGAAGGCGGCUUCCUGGACUGCAACUGACGCUGAGGCACGAACGCUGGGUUAGCGAACCGGAUUAGAUACCCUGGUAGUCCCGGCCGUAAACGAUGGGUACUAGGUGUUGUCACUUCAUUGUGGCAGUGCCGGAGUUAACGCAAUAAGUACCCCGCCUGGGGAGUACGGCCGCAAGGCUGAA
rnacentral:rRNA from 1 species